AUGGUUUUAAAGGUGAACAGAGCUUUACUUUUGGGAUCUCAUGAAAUGUGUGGGUUCAAGAUCCUAUUAGCAAGAUCACAGCAAUCACUGCAGCUCAUGCUAUCUGAGAGGAGUCUAAUAUACUGUCACAGUGCUACAGUUUGCCAACAGAUCUGUGUGAAACUAGAGGGAUGUUUGACUGCCAAGCUACUUUCCUCUUCCUGCACCAAAACAGAAGUACAAGGUGCCUAUACAUGGCAGAUAGAUAGUAUUCAAAGAUUCAUUAGGAAAACCUGUCUCCGAUCAGAAGUCUUGGGGAGUCUUCCGAAGUAGCCAUCCCCUCUGAGAGAAUUCCUUCAUUAUGUUGUUGUUCGUUUCUUCCCUUAUGUUUUUGCUAAUGCUAACACAUGCUCAAGAGAAAAGUGCUUUCUGUGAAUCAGAUUCACCAGUGUGGUUUUUUGCUGCUCUGGUCUGUCAAAGAUUUGCAAGCAAGAGGUUUUACUUAAAAAUUGUGAUUGUGCAUCUUUUCCCUAAUGGUUUAAUUUUGUCAUCAUCUUUAAUCACAUAAACAUUCUUUAUCUGUUCAUCUCAUCUCCAUUCUGAUCUGAACCCAUUUAACCAAAAGGAACUUGAAAAGUUUUAAUUGUUUCGGUGUCUGCCUGAGGCUUAAAUUAUGUAUUUUAAGUUUUAAAACUUUGAAGUAGUUAUUUUCUUUUCAUCUACAGGUUAAAAGGAUCCAGCAGGGAUUGUCUUCCUAUUGCUUUAGGAUUUCAAAAGCUCUGUUUACUUUUAACACGCUUGGGUUUACAGCACAACACUAUGUAGUGGAGAAAUGCAUACGAGUAAUUACGUCAAUUACAAUCAGCUCAAUACAAUUCUUCUGUGGUGCUACGUGAUUUAAAUGUCAUUAUGUGUCUAGAAAAGGAUGGGAAAUUGUUGUUGUUCGCUCCUGUUUGCUGCUUACAGCUGUUUUUAUGACUGGUUUUGCUCAUAAACAGGUGUUUAGAACAUUCCUUUGACUAAGUGAUACAGCUUGUGCUGCUGUGAAUUAAUUUGUCUUGCAUGUCUGGGUAGCUUGGGUUUUUUUUGUUUUCACUUCUUAAAAAAAAAGGGGGGGGGCAGCAAGCUACCUGCAACUCUGAGGUUGUUUUGAUAAGCCAUAUUUGGAAAAACUACAAGCUCACGAUGAGACAGAAUGUGUUCUUUAAGAGAAAGAUGGUUUGCUGUGAAUGUCUAUGGGCAUGGCCUCCCAGAAAAAUCUCUCAUUUCCCUCUGAUUCCUGUCCAUUCCCACUGAAUGAGAUUUCCCCUACUUGCUUUACUCUGGUUAGAAGUCCUUUGCAUGGUUCCCUGUUAUAGCUGAAGCUGAUCCAUGGUAGGCAAUGCAGGAAUGGAAACAUGCACCAAAGGUGUGUAUUCAGUUAUGUUACAUGGCUUAUUUUUUCAAAGUGAUAAUUUAAAUAACUCCAUAUGAAAUUCUUAUGAAAAUCUCAGCAGAUGGUGCUUCUGAAAAAGGUAAGGUGACUCCUUUUUUUUCCUUUCUUUUCUUUUUUUCCCCCCACUAAUGCUCAUUACUAACAACUGAAAGCAGGGACUGUGCAUCCAGUGUAAUUUAUCUGUGGACUGACAGUACGCAUAGGUGAAUGGAAGCCUCAAAAAGGCUUGUUGGGUCUUGUAAAGCUUUUAAGCCAUUUUCUGUACGUAUUUCAUAUAAGAAGUAAUGACCUCUGCUUCAGCCAUUUCUUGCUGGUUGUUCAGAGGCUAGAAAAGCAGAAGGCUUUUAACCCUGUUGGUCACUAACUGCCAUUUCAUGUAUGAUCUGGAAGCCAUAAUUUCUAUUUAAAAAAAUUAAGUGUGAAAAUGUAAGUGCAAAACAAAAACAGUCAUUGUUUUGUAUGCAUUGGAUAGUGCAUAGCUAUAGCUGUAGCUGUGGGGUGCUCUGGCUGCAGCUAAAUCAUUAGAAAAACAGGACUUUUAUUAAGAGCAAUCUUGUUAUUGUGAAAAAUAACAUAAUCAAGGGAGGAAAAUGAGUGAUAGUUACAGAUUUGCUGGGCAGCCAAGUAGCUGUUAAACCACAGACUCCAUAGAGAACAGCCCUGUUCUCCCAUACAGGGUACCUUUAAAAUGUCCUUUGUAAGCACUUUUUUUUUUUUCUUCCUAAUACGACAUCAAUUUUAAGAUAUUAUUCUUCCUUUAAAUGCAUCUUAGAGGAAGAAAUGUGCUGGUAGGAGCAUAUGCUUUGCUGAAGAAUUUCCUACUAUGCUUCAUUUCCACGAAGUCACAAAAAUAUAGAUGACUUGGUCAUCUUUUUGUUUUUCUAUUUCCAACAAGUUAUGAUAACUGAAAAUAAAUUACAGAAUGACAGAAUUGUUGAGAUUGGA
ensembl:lncRNA